GCACCACCUGUAACUGGACACAGACAUUUUCAUGUUUAGAAGAAAUUUUUAAGGAUGAUUGAAAAGUCUCUGUGCUAGACAAAAGACGGUCUGGAGCAUCAUGCCUGUUGACCUGUGGCGAAGAAUCAUUCGCUGUUCCACUGUGAGAGCGGAAGUGUGGUAAGAGAACAGUACCAGACCAGUGUGGUCAUAUUUGAGCAGUGCUGUAAAGGAAUGCCAGGAUGAGGCCUCCUGAGGAUGUCCUAGAUGAGAAGACGUCUCCAUCAUCAUCGUGUGAAUCCCCUGGGACCAACAAGGCACAUGGAGGUCAGCAGGGACAAGAGCCCAACACUCCAAAUGUCCCUCCAUGAGUGGCACUCAUCAGGUAGAAGAAAAAGAGGAAGAAGAGAGGCCCCCCAAGGUCCCUCGGCACGCCCACAAACCGCACAGGCGACGAAAGCUGCGGCUAUGGGGCCACAACCCCACAAACAAGGGGUAAACAAGAGGAUCUUUUUGAUGUCUGCUGCCCAACAUUGAGGGUCAGAGAUCCAAAUAGGAUUGGGUGCUGCUGGGUAGUACAGGUGGUUGAGUAGGGAUGUCAGGUGGUGGUGGCAAAUGGAGACACACCAGAGUGAGCUGGGCUCCUAAAAGCAACGACCAGAAUGCAAGGACCAUCACAUUUAUUGGUUUAUGUUAUUACUGUAUACCAAAUACUGUUAUAAUCGUUUAGUAUUUCUAUGUACAUUGAUGAUAAAUAUAAUGAUAGAAACAGUAUUGGUAGUUAAAAUUAUAUCAUGUAUAAGCAGGCAAUGUGUUUUUUUUACCCAGACCCUGGUUGUCAACCUUGUACCCACCACGGCACACCACCCAGUUGAUCUCCUCGUUAAAAUAUCUUGCAUACCGUAUGACAUUCAGGAGCCGAUGAAGGACUCUGAGAGAGCAGAGCGAAGGACAGUUUAUGGCGGAUUUCUUUACUGCACAGUUUGGCACACCCCCUUUUUUUUUUUUUACUGGGAUAGGAGAAGGCUUAACAGUUCAGAAACUAGUAAUAAGCACCAUGUGAACUAUACAGGUCCUUAAAAUGAGCUCUCAGAUGCUGUUUACAAGACCAGUACCUUUUAAGAGUCUGUCUUUUCCAACGGCGGGAAGUCAAAUUGCCCUGCUCUUAAUUAUUGUCAGGGUGCAUGAUUUUUUAUGAGGACCAGUCACAAUGCGAUACACCCACCCAUUUUAUCUUGACUCUUAUUAAAAGAGAGCGGUUGGUUCAGUACAUUUCUUUAUUUAUUUACGUUGUCAUUUAUGUAUUUGUUUGUUUAUUUAUGUUUUUGUUUAUGUAUAUGCAUAUGAGGUUGACUUUUGGGCACGUUGAAAACAUGAAUGUGGC